GUUAGGAAUAUUGGACAAUGGGCGCAAGCCUGAUCCAGCCAUGCCGCGUGAACGAUGAAGGCCUUCGGGUUGUAAAGUUCUUUAGCCGAUGAUUAUAAUGACUGUAGUCGGAAAAUAAGCCCCGGCUAACUUCGUGCCAGCAGCCGCGGUAAUACGAAGGGGGCGAGCGUUAUUCGGAAUCACUGGGCGUAAAGCGUGCGUAGGCGGUCUCGUAAGUUAGGAGUGAAAGCCCAGGGCUCAACCUGGGAACUGCAUCCAAAACUGGCGAGCUAGAGUACGGUAGAGGGUGGUGGAAUUUCCUGUGUAGCGGUGAAAUGCGUAGAUAUUGGAAGGAACACCAGUGGCGUAAGCGGCUAUCUGGACGAGUAUUGACGCUGAGGCACGAAAGCGUGGGGAUCAAACAGGAUUAGAUACCCGAGUAGUCC
rnacentral:rRNA from 1 species